CAGCCGCCGCGGGAAAACGUAGGUGGCAAGCGUUGUCCGGAAUUAUUGGGCGUAAAGGGCUCGCAGGCGGUUUCUUAAGUCUGAUGUGAAAGCCCCGGGCUCAACCGGGGAGGGUCAUUGGAAACUGGGAAACUUGAGUGCAGAAGAGGAGAGUGGAAUUCCACGUGUAGCGGUGAAAUGCGCAGAGAUGUGGAGGAACACCAGUGGCGAAGGCGACUCUCUGGUCUGUAACUGACGCUGAGGAGCGAAAGCGUGGGGAGCGAACAGGAUUAGAUACCCCCGUAGUCCCUGUCUCUUAUAC
rnacentral:rRNA from 1 species